GCGAAGAAAGGGCAAACCUGUCGAAAGGCAGCGACGCAAAGCCACGGGUCUAAACGGAUGAAAAUCUGCAGGAUCGCCGGGCCACCUAA
rnacentral:ncRNA from 1 species